rnacentral:misc_RNA from 1 species
AACACUGUUAACCUGCGGUACCUGCGGAAGGAUCAUUACUGAGUCACGUGCUCAAACAACCCUUCUGUGGACCUGAAAUAAAACCGUUGCCUCGGCGGGCGGUCCCCCCCAAACCAACCCCACGUGGUGGGUUAGGGGAGACCAGACAGUCCGGUACGCUUAAGGCGUCCGGCGCCAGCCGCUGGCCCCAAACAAUUAAACUCUAGUAAUCUUUACCUUCUGAGUUUCAAUAUUUAAAAA